rnacentral:tRNA from 1 species
AAAAGUCCUGUAAACAC